rnacentral:rRNA from 1 species
AUUGAACGCUGGCGGCAUGCCUUACCCAUGCAAGUCGAAAGGUAACGCGGGGCAACCUGGCGACGAGUGGCGAACGGGUGAGUAAUGGAGCGGAACGUGCCCAGUAGUGGGGGAUAAGUGCUCGAAAGAGCAGCUAAUACCGCAUACGACCUGAGGGGGAAAGCGGGGGAUCGCAGGAUCUCGCGCUAUUGGAGCGGCCGAUGUCAGAUUAGGUAGUUGGUGUGGGAAAGGCACACCAAGCCAACGAUCUGAAGGUGGUCUGAGAGGACGACCAGCCACACUGGGACUGAGACACGGCCCAGACUCCUACGGGAGGCAGCAGUUGGGAAUUUUGGACAAUGGACGCAAGUCUGAUCCAGCCAUGCCGCGUGCGGGAAGAAGGCCUUCGGGUUGUAAACCGCUUUUGUCAGGGAAGAAACGCUCUGGGUUAAUACCUCGGGGUAAUGACGGUACCUGAAGAAUAAGCACCGGCUAACUACGUGCCAGCCGCCGCAGUAAAAC